AUAAAAAUAAUGCAUUGUAUGCCGGAAGGGAUAAAUCUGGGGCUGAGUACAAGCAAAACAAGACCAAAGGAAGCUACCUGAGCAGGUAUUCCAGAUACUCAUGUCAUACACCAAGGUUGUACCAGUGCCCCUUUCUCUGUGACACAUCCAUCCACUGGAAACUUUCGUACAACUAGCUGAAAGAAGAGAAACAUCCUAUUUCAUGUCACUGGAGCCCUAAUGAUCGCAGCCAUUUCAGGAAAUGCCAUCAAUUACAGUGAGGAGCUCAUUCAGAAGUGAAAGAUGAGUUCCAUUCUCUGUUACUUAGAGGUAUUACAAAGCUCAAAUCUGAGAAAACCUUGUCUACCAUCAACCCUGACCUACAGAGGAGAGGCACCCCCAAGCUUAUUAGUGAUCCUGUCUCCGUCUUAUUGGCACAUCCUGAUGGCCUUGAUCUCUAGUUCUUCCUGUGGAGCAUAACCAUAUGGUUCUUUGCCAAGAUGUUAAGACCAAAGUCGGAGAGUGAACCCCAUGUCAAUGAAUUCUUGUUUUUCUGAUCUUACAUUCCAUCACUUUGAUCCAGUACUCUCAAAAUGCAAUCACAGUUGUACAUGUCUUCUCCUGUCAAUAAACGCU
rnacentral:lncRNA from 1 species